rnacentral:rRNA from 1 species
GACGAACGCUGGCGGCGUGCUUAACACAUGCAAGUCGAACGAUGAAGCACCAGCUUGCUGGUGUGGAUUAGUGGCGAAUGGGUGAGUAACACGUGAGUAACCUGCCCCUCACUCUGGGAUAAGCCUGGGAAACUGGGUCUAAUACUGGAUACGACCGAUCUCCGCAUGGAGUGUUGGUGGAAAGUUUUUGUGGUGGGGGAUGGACUCGCGGCCUAUCAGCUUGUUGGUGGGGUAAUGGCCUACCAAGGCGACGACGGGUAGCCGGCCUGAGAGGGCGACCGGCCACACUGGGACUGAGACACGGCCCAGACUCCUACGGGAGGCAGCAGUGGGGAAUAUUGCACAAUGGGCGAAAGCCUGAUGCAGCGACGCCGCGUGAGGGAUGACGGCCUUCGGGUUGUAAACCUCUUUCACCAGGGACGAAGCUAACGUGACGGUACCUGGAGAAGAAGCACCGGCUAACUACGUG